AUACAACCUUUGUCCUUUUGAUACUCUCCCCGGUAUCUCACCGCUGCGUCGAUGCAGAAGAGUCACUUGAAGCUGAGAAGGCUCUCCAAGAUGACAGACACUUCGGGACAGACCAAGAACAGAUUUCACGAGGAAUGAUAUGAAAAGUAUUCAACAACUGUGUAACACAAGCCACUGGCCAAAAAUCCCAGAUGCUGCUGUAGACAAGGAGGCUGUCUGCACUGGGGAUGUCCUGCCUGCUCAGUUCUGCCUCCUCUGCCUCUGUGUCACAUGCACGGAUGUGCGGAGGUCUAGUUCCUGGCUCCUGUAUUUUCCAGGAACCCUGAUCUCCAAAGAUGACGGACAUUCUAGUUGGUUCCUGCCUGAGGCUCAGCUUAACCUGUGUGGUGGCUCUGUCAGGGCCCUGUUCCUUUGCUCCAACAGGAAUCAGAUUGUGAUCAGUCUUGGAAUGCAUUCCAGAGCUGGCUGCAGCCCCAAGCCUUGCCUGGCUGGACAGCCUUGGUGCUACACAUCAGUCCUCACGUCUUCCUUCCCGGCUCCUCACACACCGCCAGUGGGUCCCUGAACCCUGAGUUUCCAUUAGUGGGCUGUGUGACACCAGGCAGGUACCAGGCAGGAACCUUUGCUACUUCCCAGGGUACAGACUGACCCUCCACCCUUGGCUUGAUUCACCUUUGUGUCUUGCCAGCCCAGGCUUCAAGCCCAAUCUAGCAGCCCAGGUCAAAUUUGGCUGGAAAUUUUUGCUUCAAGAACUUAAGUCUUCCACCCUCUGUAACAAGGCUUAUCUGUUCCUUAAGAAAGGGGUGGCGGUUCUCUUUGAGGGCGGUUUUUGUUUUGUUUUAAAAUUUCAUGCAUAAAAAAUAAAUGUAAAAUGCAUGUGAUGAAGCAAAUUUACAAAAUGAACAUCUUUGAACACAUUAGCUUAUCUAAGAAUUAGAACGUGAUCACAUGGUUGCAUCUGCCUCCAUGCCUCCUUCCCUGCUCUGUUGGCCGGCCUCUCACUAUCCUGAAUUUCGUGUUUAUUAUUUCCUUGUUUUUAAGAGCAGCUUCAUAUACAUAUGUGUAUAUCCACAAACUGAGUAUUUACUUUUGCUUAUUUUUGAACCUUAUGAAAAUAGAGUCAUAUUGUAUGCAGAUAUUUUGCUGUUCUAGAUAAUAUUGCUUUUCAUCAAAUAAAAUGGUGUUCGGAGUGAUCACAUCAACUUAUAAUCCUAUAAGCAGUAUGUACGAGUUCACAUUGGUUUACAUUCUAACAACCACUUAGCAGUAGCAGACUUAAAUUUUUUGCCA